AAUAGAUACCCGGGUAGUCCACGCCGUAAACGAUGAGUGCUAAGUGUUAGAGGGGUUUCCGCCCUUUAGUGCUGCAGCUAACGCAUUAAGCACUCCGCCUGGGGGAGUACGGCCGCAAGGCUGAAACUACAAAGGAAUUAGACGGGGGCCCGGCACAAGCGGUGGAGCAUGUGGUUUAAUUUCGUAAGCAACGCGAAGAACCUUACCAGGUCUUGACAUCCUCUGACCGUCCCUGGAGACAGGGCCUUCCCCGUUCGGGGGACGAGAGUGGACAGGUGGUGCAUGGUUGUCGUCAGCUCGUGUCGUGAGAUGUUGGGUUAAGUCCCGCAACGAGCGCAACCCUUGACCUUAGUUGCCAGCAUUCAGUUGGGCACUCUAAGGUGACUGCCGGUGACAAACCGGAGGAAGGUGGGGAUGACGGUCAAAUCAUCAUGCCCCUUAUGACCUGGGCUACACACGUGCUACAAUGGAUGGUACAAAGGGCUGCAAGACCGCGAGGUUAAGCCAAUCCCAAAAAACCAUUCCCAAGUUCGGAUUGCAGGCUGCAGCCCG
rnacentral:rRNA from 1 species